rnacentral:piRNA from 1 species
AUUUUUGGAUACUAAUAUGACGUGG